rnacentral:rRNA from 1 species
ACGCUAGCUACAGGCUUAACACAUGCAAGUCGAGGGGCAGCAUUUUAGUUUGCUUGCAAACUGAAGAUGGCGACCGGCGCACGGGUGAGUAACACGUAUCCAACCUACCGAUAACUCCGGAAUAGCCUUUCGAAAGAAAGAUUAAUACCGGAUAGCAUACGAAUAUCGCAUGAUAUUUUUAUUAAAGAAUUUCGGUUAUCGAUGGGGAUGCGUUCCAUUAGUUUGUUGGCGGGGUAACGGCCCACCAAGACUACGAUGGAUAGGGGUUCUGAGAGGAAGGUCCCCCACAUUGGAACUGAGACACGGUCCAAACUCCUACGGGAGGCAGCAGUGAGGAAUAUUGGUCAAUGGGCGAGAGCCUGAACCAGCCAAGUAGCGUGAAGGAUGAAGGCUCUAUGGGUCGUAAACUUCUUUUAUAUGGGAAUAAAGUUUUCCACGUGUGGAAUUUUGUAUGUACCAUAUGAAUAAGGAUCGGCUAACUCCGUGCCAGCAGCCGCGGUAAUACGGAGGAUCCGAGCGUUAUCCGGAUUUAUUGGGUUUAAAGGGAGCGUAGGUGGAUUGUUAAGUCAGUUGUGAAAGUUUGCGGCUCAACCGUAAAAUUGCAGUUGAAACUGGCAGUCUUGAGUACAGUAGAGGUGGGCGGAAUUCGUGGUGUAGCGGUGAAAUGCUUAGAUAUCACGAAGAACUCCGAUUGCGAAGGCAGCUCACUAGACUGUCACUGACACUGAUGCUCGAAAGUGUGGGUAUCAAACAGGAUUAGAUACCCUGGUAGUCCACACAGUAAACGAUGAAUACUCCGCUGUUUGCGAUAUACAGUAAGCGGCCAAGCGAAAGCAUUAAGUAUUCCACCUGGGGAGUACGCCGGCAACGGUGAAACUCAAAGGAAUUGACGGGGGCCCGCACAAGCGGAGGAACAUGUGGUUUAAUUCGAUGAUACGCGAGGAACCUUACCCGGGCUUAAAUUGCAACAGAAUAUAUUGGAAACAGUAUAGCCGUAAGGCUGUUGUGAAGGUGCUGCAUGGUUGUCGUCAGCUCGUGCCGUGAGGUGUCGGCUUAAGUGCCAUAACGAGCGCAACCUUUAUCUUUAGUUACUAACAGGUUAUGGUGAGGACUCUAGAGAGACUGCCGUCGUAAGAUGUGAGGAAGGUGGGGAUGACGUCAAAUCAGCACGGCCCUUACGUCCGGGGCUACACACGUGCUACAAUGGGGGGUACAGAAGGCGGCUACCUGGUGACAGGAUGCUAAUCCCAAAAACCUCUCUCAGUUCGGAUCGAAGUCUGCAACCCGACUUCGUGAAGCUGGAUUCGCUAGUAAUCGCGCAUCAGCCAUGGCGCGGUGAAUACGUUCCCGGGCCUUGUACACACCGCCCGUCAAGCCAUGAAAGCCGGGGGUACGUGAAGUACGUAACCGCAAGGAGCGUCUUAGGGUAAAACUG